rnacentral:lncRNA from 1 species
AUCGAGAAGUGAUAUAAUUUGGAAUUAAACUGAUGUGAUGGGGGGUGAGACUUCGGUGGUAACUGUCUGCAUGUGAACCGUCGAUGACCUUUAGACGGGAGCUUACUGGUCGAAGCCAUCUAUUCAAACGGUUUAAAACUAUGUAUCUUCGGAAACCGCGAUACAGGGGAUGAUGAGAGGCGGCUAAUUGUAAUUGAUUGUUUUUAGAAAUAGCAGCCUGGUAGAUAAGAGUCGCUCUCAAUUGGA